CGUUAAUGGAACUGUUUUACUACUAGACGAUUCCUUCCUGGUUUCCACAUCUUCCCCCGCGCUGCACACCGUGUGAGUGCGUACAGUGAGCGUUGUGGACGCAGUGUGCGUUUGGAUCCACGGAUGGAGAAAUGCAGAUGAUCGGAGCCUCGACAACCGCUUACAUAAAUAAAUUGGCAGCGGACGCAGUCUGCUGCGCGAAUGGCACACAGGAUUCAGGUUGUUCCGUUUGUCAAGUUCCACGUACAUUUCUGCAGACAGAAGACCUUUCUCUCUCGUCUGGAUUCACGUCACGUAGACGGAAGCUGCCCAGGGCCGCUCGCUCCGGUAGCCCGGUUCUCCUACUCAAAGCCUCCGGGGGAAGGAGGUCUUGUGUGUUUGGCUGCGCGCAGCACGAGCAGCUUGGAGGAGCAUUUGCUCUUGGAGGUUAAUCUCAGAAAACGGACCAAAGUCAUUUGAAGCGUUUACAAUGGAUAAGGUGCGUAGAGGCAGUAAAGUGACCGUCCUGCACGGGAGGACUGCCUCCUUCUGGCCACCUGGAGGAACUGAA
ensembl:lncRNA